UACGUAGGGUGCAAGCGUUGUCCGGAAUUAUUGGGCGUAAAGAGCUCGUAGGCGGUCUGUCGCGUCGGCUGUGAAAUCCCGGAGCUCAACUCCGGGUCUGCAGUCGAUACGGGCAGACUGGAGUUCGGCAGGGGAGACUGGAAUUCCUGGUGUAGCGGUGAAAUGCGCAGAUAUCAGGAGGAACACCGGUGGCGAAGGCGGGUCUCUGGAACGCAACUGACGCUGAGACGCGAAAGCGUGGGGAGCAAACAGG
rnacentral:rRNA from 1 species